rnacentral:rRNA from 1 species
ACGGGAGGCAGCAGUGGGGAAUAUUGCGCAAUGGGGGCAACCCUGACGCAGCAACGCCGCGUGAAGGAUGAAGGUCUUCGGAUUGUAAACUUUUGUCUUUGGUGAAGAUAAUGACAGUAGCCAAGGAGGAAGCCACGGCUAACUACGUGCCAGCAGCCGCGGUAAUACGUAGGUGGCAAGCGUUGUCCGGAUUUACUGGGUGUAAAGGGCGCGUAGACGGGUGUGCAAGUCAGAUGUGAAAUACCGCAGCUUAACUGCGGGGCUGCAUUUGAAACUGCAUAUCUUGAGUGCGGGAGAGGAAAGCGGAAUUCCUAGUGUAGCGGUGAAAUGCGUAGAUAUUAGGAGGAACACCAGUGGCGAAGGCGGCUUUCUGGACCGUAACUGACGUUGAGGCGCGAAAGCAUGGGUAGCAAACAGGAUUAGAUACCCUGGUA